AUCUUUGUUGGUUUAGACAGUCCAGAAAUUGUGAAGGGCGGUUGAUUUGCUUCUGGUUUAUGAAAUAGAGCUGACUAUAGUUAUGCAUGACCGCGAAUAUGCUUGUAACUGGUGACAGAUAUGUUCUGCUGACCAGCUUUGCAGUUUGCCACAUUGGUGAUGUAAAUGCCCCUAAAUGAUGAUAUCUUAGCAAAGCUAUGGAUUUAUGUCCAGAUGAAGCUUCUUUGUCAUAGUUACUCUGAUAGGGCAUUUAUGGUUCUGUUCUGUUGUUUGGGUAUAGUCUUACCAGCACCUAUUCUCAUGUGAAAUUGUAUGUAUUCUUUGGAGCUUCUUGCCAUUUUUUUUAAGUUCGCUGUUGCUUUAUUAUUUUAUAAUUCUAUCUGCUAGUAUUACUCUGUCACUAGAUUGUGGAACCAAUGAUUGCAAUGGUACCAUAACCUGUGAUAGAUUUGUACCAAAUGGCUUUGAAUGAGUAUUAGACCAUCAAAUGCUUAAGUAAAAAUAGUGCUAGUAGUUAGUGUUUGCAGCAUUAUCCAUAAAUGUUCUAUCUCAAUAAUUGUCCUGCUAGUUUAGACUCAAGACAAUUAAGAAAUUGUCAAUGCCGUUUGAUGUUUUUUCUGGUUUAUGAAUAAAGCUGGCUAUGAAUAUACUAGAAACUAGCGAUGGAUAUGUUCUGCUGGUCAGCUUUGUAGUUUGCCGUUUUGGUUAUGUAAAUGCCCUAAAUGAUGAUAUCUUAGCAAAGCUAUGGGUUUAUGCCCAAAUGAAGCUUCUUUGUCAUAGUUACUCUGAUAGGCAUUUAUGUUUCUGUUCUGUUGCUUGUGUAUAGUCUUACCAAAUUACACAUUUUGGUAUUGCUGCAUGUAUUGUCAUGUGCAAUUUUGCACAUCUUGAUUUGUUUCUCUGGUUUGUGAAUAUAGCUGGCUAUGAUUAUGCUUGUAAAUAGCGAUGGAUAUUCUAUGCUGACCAGCUUCACAGUUUGCCACUUUGGUUAUGUAUAAAUGCCCUGAAUGAUGAUAUCUUAGCAAAGCUAUUGGUUUAUGUCCAAGUGAAGCUUCUUUGUCAUAGUUACUCUGAUGGGACAUUUAUGGUUCUGUUCAUUUGUGCACAUAUUGUCAUGUGCAAUUUUGUGUAGUUUUUGUACCUUGGUUUUACUUUCUAAAAAAAUGAAGUUAUCUGUUGCUCUAUUAUUUUAUAAUUU
rnacentral:lncRNA from 1 species